GAUGAACGCUGGCGGCGUGCCUAAUACAUGCAAGUCGAGCGAAUGGAUUAAGAGCUUGCUCUUAUGAAGUUAGCGGCGGACGGGUGAGUAACACGUGGGUAACCUGCCCAUAAGACUGGGAUAACUCCGGGAAACCGGGGCUAAUACCGGAUAACAUUUUGAACCGCAUGGUUCGAAAUUGAAAGGCGGCUUCGGCUGUCCCUUAUGGAUGGACCAGCGUCGCAUUAGCUAGUUGGUGAGGUAACGGCUCACCAAGGCAACGAAACGUAGCCGCCCUUAGAGGGUGAUCGGCCACACUAGGACUGAGACACGGCCCAGACUCCUACGGGAGGCAGCAGUAGGGAAUCUUCCGCAAUAGACGAAAGUCUGACGGAGCAACGCCUCGUGAGUGAUUAAGGCUUUCGGGUCGUAAAACUCUGUUGUUAGGGAAGAACAAGUGCUAGUUGAAUAAGCUGGCACCUUGACGGGACCUAACCAGAAAGCCACGGCUAACUACGUGCCAGCAGCCGCCGCAG
rnacentral:rRNA from 1 species